rnacentral:lncRNA from 1 species
UCUCUCUCUCUCUCCUUCUCCGAUCAGCCCACCGCCGCCUGCUGCCCGCCGUCCGCUGCCCGCCGUUCCCCGUCAGCCCACCGGCGUUAGCCCUCCUCCGUGAACCCUAAUCGUCGCCGAUCCCGUAAGCCCUCCGCCGCAGAAGUCUCCCACCAGCCCUUGCCGCCGUCGCCGUCAGCCCUCUCCGUCGCCGCCAGACCUCUGCCGCCAGCCGUCCUCCGUCCGCCCUCUUCCGUCCAGAAUUAUAUUGGUAAUUUUUUUUGCUG